GACGAACGCUGGCGGCGUGCCUAACACAUGCAAGUCGAACGGAGAUGUAAUUUCGGUUAUAUCUUAGUGGCGAACGGGUGAGUAACGCGUGAGCAACCUGACUCUUAGAGGGGGAUAACACCCGGAAACGAGUGCUAAUACCGCAUAAGACCACGACAUGGCAUCAUGACGAGGUCAAAGGAGCAAUCCGCUGAGAGAGGGGCUCGCGUCCCAUUAGAUAGAUGGCGGGGUAACGGCCCACCAUGUCAACGAUGGCUAGGGGGUCUGAGAGGACGAUCCCCCACACUGGUACUGAGACACGGACCAGACUCCUACGGGAGGCAGCAGUGAGGAAUAUUGGUCAAUGGGCGGAAGCCUGAACCAGCCAUGCCGCGUGCAGGAUGACGGCCCUACGGGUUGUAAACUGCUUUUCCCCGGGGCGAAUAACCCCCUCGCGAGGGGGAGUGCCGGUACCGGGGAACGUAGGAAGUCGGCUAACGUCCGUGCCAGCAGCCGCGGUAAUCUGUAGU
rnacentral:rRNA from 1 species